rnacentral:rRNA from 1 species
UACGUAGGUGGCAAGCGUUGUCCGGAUUCAUUGGGCGUAAAGAGCUCGUAGGCGGCUGUUCAAGUCGAACGUGAAAACUCGGAGCUCAACUCCGAGCCUGCGUUCGAUACUGGACGGCUAGAGUCUGGUAGGGGGAUCUGGAAUUCCUGGUGUAGCGGUGGAAUGCGCAGAUAUCAGGAGGAACACCGGUGGCGAAGGCGGGAUCCUGGGCCAGUACUGACGCUCAUGUGCGAAAGCGUGGGGAGCAAACAGG